rnacentral:rRNA from 1 species
ACGUACACUCCUACGGGAGGCAGCAGUGGGGAAUAUUGGACAAUGGGCGCAAGCCUGAUCCAGCCAUGCCGCGUGAGUGAUGAAGGCCCUAGGGUUGUAAAGCUCUUUCACCGGUGAAGAUAAUGACGGUAACCGGAGAAGAAGCCCCGGCUAACUUCGUGCCAGCAGCCGCGGUAAUACGAAGGGGGCUAGCGUUGUUCGGAUUUACUGGGCGUAAAGCGCACGUAGGCGGACUAUUAAGUCAGGGGUGAAAUCCCGGGGCUCAACCCCGGAACUGCCUUUGAUACUGGUAGUCUUGAGUGCGAGAGAGGUGAGUGGAAUUCCGAGUGUAGAGGUGAAAUUCGUAGAUAUUCGGAGGAACACCAGUGGCGAAGGCGGCUCACUGGCUCGAUACUGACGCUGAGGUGCGAAAGCGUGGGGAGCAAACAGGAUUAGAAACCCGUGUAGUCCCAUGA